AGGUUUAGGAAGUCGAUGUUCUGGUAACUAAGUUACCCCUGCCAGCACUGGAACAAACUCAGCUCCACAAAUGGAUGGAGAGUACCAUUAGGCAACAGCUGAUGUUCAAACAUGUUGAACAUUAAAAGAGAACACCUUUUGUUCUGUCAACGACUUUAUACCUUCAGGAAAGGGAAUUAGGUUUUCAUGAUGACAAGAAGGGAAGAUACAUGUUUAAGUGAAGAUUGCUGCUAAAAAAGAAAGGCUUAAUAGACUAAUAAUAAACCCAUUCCAAGCUGGCUGCCAGUGCUGGGAAAAACUCCAAAGGCCUGAGUUGAAGAGGAGAGAUGUCAUGUCCAUACAUGGGGGUAAAAAUAGCAUGAGAGACUGAAUGGAAAUCAUACAUUCAGCCCACAGCCAUUAAAGGGAAACAUGUAGGUGGAACUGAUUCAGAUGCUUUCUUAGGAAGAGGGGGUGGAGAGCCCCGAGAAGCACCUGGUUUAUGGAGAGGUAAGAGCUCUCCGAAAAUGAUAAAAGCCAGGCUGGUGCUAUUCCAUUUGGGAUUUGUUUGCAAUUGUGUCUUCCUGUGCUCAUAUAUAUGUGUGUGAACCUUUGAGGAUUACUACUAUUUUACAUCCUAACUUUCCCUCAGAUUGUGAUUAUCCAGAAAGAAAUGUGGAACACUCAGCCUAUCAAUGAAUUACAGUACCCCAUCAUUCAAAGGAUAAUAUUGGCCUCAUACAGGAUGCAUUUGGUAUACAACAUGCUUUUCUUAGAGUCAAUCUUAUCAUGACAUUUGCAUAUUCUGCAACACCCAUUUCAGCUGCUCUUUUCUGAAAUGCCCUUACUUGCUUUGCAGAGAAAAAUAGUGAGGAAUGUUGUCCUUGUGUAAGCAAAAAGAGGUCGAAGAAACAAUGAGCUCUUGCAUUUGUUAGCACUAUAACUGACUGAAAGGCACAGAGCCACACUGUUCCCUAUGGCUCUCUGCACAUUCACUAGCUCAGAGCACAGCAGCUGGAGUUUGAAUCCAUUUUAUCCACCAUGUACUUCUACUAACCAAAAUUGCAUGGGUGACUGUACACCUGCUCUUUCUGUGCCUGUGAUAGGUCCUUGCUUGUUUUACUGAGUAAUAUGGAAGAAGAUUUGAAAGUAGAUCUCCUAAAGCCAAGCCACAGUCUGAAAAAUCAUUUCACUUGUGCUCUCAUUUCUCUUUCUUCUCCUCAAACCUGUCUCUCAGAAUCAGAGGACACUGAUCUUCAAGCUUUCACAAGCAUUUCUGGAAACCCUGCCUGGGUUUGCCUAUACACACUGCUUUUGGAGAAACAGUCAAUCAGUUUCUGUUAUUUUAAUCCUGGUGCUUUCAUAUAAAUAUGUACCAUUACUUGUAACAUCUCUGCAGAAGGAAAGUAUGUCUACAAGCACCAAAAAUUGUGUCUCCGGUACAAAAUGUAAAUUUGAAAAAUAGUGAUGGAAACUUGAUACAGGCUCAAAGAGGCUGUAAGGUAAUGCCACUGGUGUUCAUGCUGCUUUCAUUGGUUCUGAUUCUUAUUUCGUCUUCUAUCUGUGCAAAAUAUAAAGGAGGUGUCUAUGAUGUCUUUUCAUGGAUAUUACUAGUUGAUUUUUUUUUUUUUAGGGAUGGUUGAGUUGUAUAAUUAAAGGGCUGAAUAACACAUAGUUCUUCAUGCCUUACGUCCUUCACACUCUGGUCUGAAGCACAGUCGUAAUCAUAGCAAGGAACUUUGUUGAGAAGAAAUUAAAGUGGAAGGGUAACAUAGUGGGAGUUUCUUCAAGUCUCUCACUACUAUAAUUUUAUUCCAUCCAAAUGCUUAUUGCAAGUAACCACAGUAUGUUUCACUACAAAUUUUACUGGACACAUUAACUGCACAUUAAUGGCUCUUGCAUAGCUCAUAUAUUUGUAGCUCUAGGGAAAGGAAAAGCAAGGCCACUUUGAUAUCAGUUUAUGUAACACAGAAUUUUUUUCUUGGAAGGCUCGAGGCCAUUAAGAGUAUGAACUAUACUGGAAUAUGUUCCGUAUGGCAGUUUCUCAGGUACUGUGAUAGCUAAUCCAAGUUAAUAAUUAAAAUCCUCUUCUAUCCCUCUUUCCUUCAGGAUGCAAGAAAGGUCUAGGGUUUCUUUUAAUACCAUAUCAUCUUUUCCCGUGUAUGUGAUCCUGUCCUCAUUGCCACAGCAUAGUUAAUAUUGUAGCGAGUAAUAUUUCAUCUGGGUAAACAAUCAAAGGGGAGAAGGGUUGGUUUGAUCUUUAAGAUAUAUUUUUAUUGAAUAAGCCCACAGUGAUAUCAGUGAUUGAUGGAGCACUACUAGCACUGGCAGCCUUAAGACCCUGUUUCCAGAGUAGUAGUGCACAUUUAGAUGAAGAUUUUAUCUUGGUUUGGGCAGCCACAGAGCAUGCUGUCCUUGUGCCCGGCCGCUGCUGCACUCAGCAGGCGAUAUUUUGGGAUUUCUCUGCAUCGGAGGGACUUUUAGAGGUUGAAGGUGUAAGAGUAGCCAUGAAAGGGAGAUUAAGCCCAAAAAUCUGGUUUCAUGCUCUUGGGAUAUUUACCACUUCUUCAGUUAUAAAACAUGAGGUUUUUUUCUGCUUGCCUGGCAGGAUGCUGUGAUCUCACAACUGCUGGGUGGUGCCCCCCUACAUUGGGCUCAUAAAGGAACCAUCACCAUUACAAACAAAGGAAUUAGCUGUAAAUACUCAGAAAUCUGAGCCUUAAAAACUAAUGUACUUCAGGCUUGUUUGUUGUUUUUUUUCCCCCUAUAAAAUGUUCUGCUAGGCAAAGUCAUGCAUAAAAUAGAGAAUAUUCCAGUGUUCUCCCUCAGUAUAUGAGGAUGGGUCUUUGGUGUCCUAUCACCAAACCAAAGGAAAAGGUUUGGACUGCGUUAUAUAAAAUAUGAAAGAAAAUGAGUGCAAUUCUCCCACUUGGCAGGGCAGCUCUUCAGCUUCUCCUCAUAGAGGCAGGUAGAGCUGUAGAGGUUUGCUCAUGACAGAGCUGCAAUUUAGUGACUCCUGGAUUUGACCACCAGCUAAUCUUCACAAAGACCCUGCAAUAUCAACUGUUUGCCUUUGGCCUCCAAAUGUCAAAUAAAACAAGUUUAGUUUAAAAAUUCCAAAGAGCUGUUGCAGGAGCAAUUGGAGAUGCUGGAAUAUCUGCUUGCAGAUGAUUUCACAAUUGUAAGGAAUGGCAUCCAACCUGCUCUCUGGCUGAUUGACUUGCUCUGUGCCAAACAUUUUCAUGUUCUGUGUUUUUUCUACUACAUAACUGUCAGAUAGCUUUGGAGUUCAUGGUGGGAGCAUUCAGACGUAGUGCAGCUGUUCCUUUUGCUCUAACAGCUACUUUAUAUCCCAGACAGGUCACAGAACAGGACAAAAAGCAGCUGUGCUGCCAGUCUGUGAAUCACAGAGCAUCUUCCACCUGGGAAGAAAACUGUUAUAUCAGAAGAUUAUGUAUCUUAAUUCUCCAAAGUUACUAGGGAGAUGCUAAUCAGUUAAUUUCUACUCAAUAUGGUAAACUGUGUGACUAGAACUGUCUCAUAAUGCCUUAAAUGGGCAAUACUUUUGGAUUAAAAGGUUUUAUUUCUGUAUUUUCACUUUUUUUGCAAACAUGAGAGAAUAAGGAGCUAAGUUAAACACCUUUGCUAAUGAGUGUCCAUCUGAAUUCACAGCUUUAGCAAUUUAUUACUGAAGAUGACAAUUUAAUAAUGGAAAUAGCUAAUCAGAGAAAACAAAGUUAGUGGUUUUCUCAAAUAAUGCUGGUCAAUGACAGUGUUUGGGCUUGUGAUAGAAGGAAACAAAUUGCUGAAUUUUGAAUUCUGGUACAAUUUUUCAGAUAUAUGAAAAUGCUUUCUCUCUUCAAAGCCUUGAGUGUUUGUAGUCAGAAGACCAGAUGUGCUGAUACCUGGGACCAGAGCUACUGCCAGUGCCUGCACAUCUGCCUCAGCCACAGUGUAAUGUGUGCAAAUCUAGGUGAGAGACACUGAUUUGUGAGAUUUACGUAAAGCCUGGUAGAUUUACCAGAUUUCUGACCAUAGGCAGUGUCUGUUUGUGUGGGUGAUUGCUGCAUAUUCUUACAGGGAUCUUGCUUAAUUUCCUCUUUUAUCUUGGAUUAAUGCUUUAUGGGAAAAUACAUUGUGAAUCUGUAUAACUAACAGGUUUAGUAGUGCUCAUCAAAUAACAACAUUCAGAAGAAGCAAGCACACAUGCUGUUCUCUCUGGGGAGCAAACCUAUCUGCAGGAAUUCAACCCAUUACAUUUAUUUAGCAGAUCUGGAAGAAAGGACUUAAUUUGAUUUUGAAUCACUUUAGUUUUCAUAUUAGAGAAAAGCAAUAAUAGAAAUCAAGUUACCUGGCACAUUUUACAUCAGCUAAACCUACCCCCAGCAGGGUGUUGCUCAGGAACAGCAGCUUGCCACUUCUAGUCAGGAGCAGCACUGCUGCUUCUGUAGUAGAUCACUGUUUUUAUGAUGUUUGGACUUGUAAUAAAGUUUUCUAUCUGUUGCUGGGAGAUAGUACAUAUAUAUCCAUUUCUUAAAAACACCCCAACUCCACAGUGGAGUUUUUUGUAAGCUUUAGGUAAUGGGCUAAUCUGAACAAUUUAAUUGGUUUUUCUACGAAGCUGCCUUAUCAUCCUGUGAGGAGUGUGCCCAAAACUCUGAGGUGUCUUUUUGUCCCUGCUAGUUUUAAGAGCAAAGUUUUCCUGUGCCCAAGGACAAGAAUUCCUUCCCCAGAUCCUUCUAGAGCAACAGGAUGCAUAAUGUCCCUUGGAAACUGGUGAGGACAGUCCAUGCAGCCCUCAGAAUGUGUGGGUGGGUGCAGAAUGCUCUCUCCAGAGCAAACUGUUUGGAAAGGCUAAAUUACUUAAAAUCCCACUCAUCCACAAAACUGGUGCAGUCAAGGAAGAGUAGAAGAGUCAAUAAUCUAGCUGUUUAAUAUAUUUUUUCAAGAAUUAUUUGGCAGUAUCUGAUUUUUAUGAUGUUUAGCAGAGGGACAUGCUGUCUUUCACUUCCUUCCCUAAUCCAUUUCCUAUGUGUUAGCAAAGGGUAAAAAAUACUCGGGUACUGCACUACAACUGAGGUAACCUUAUAUGACAACAAAUUCCUGAGGCUGGAAUAUUGUGACUGGUCUGACAAAAUGUUGCACAUUCUUCUUUUUUUUAUUUAAAUAGAAGAAGCACGGAAAGUUUGCAAAGGAUGGGGGUGGAAGAAAUGUUCUCUGUUCUCCAAAACUGGGUGAGAGGUUGAAAUACAAUUGAAAUUAGAUUGUUUGGAUGUCCUUGAUGGUACAGAUGAAGCUUGUCUGGAUGGAGUUUUUAACUACUUUAUUUCAGUUUUCUUAGUCAUAGUUUUUGAAACGUUUUACAGUUUACUUGGGUGCAUAGGAGCUUAGCUGGAAGCCCUGUUGAAAUCUCAGUAUCUAAUUUUCCAGCAAGCAGUAAGCUCAGCUGACAGAUUCACAGCAUAAGUUCUAUCACAGCAUUGGCUUUCAAGAACUGAUAUAUUAAGAUACACAUUAAUGCACAAAAGAAUUGUAAGUGGCUGCAGUUUGCAUGUUGCAAAAAAUAGUAAUCUGUAUUUAGAGCAAUUGAUUUCCUCUUCUGAUGGACUUCUGAAGUGAGAAUGCUUUAUCAGUCUUUACUACUGAGAGCACUAGGACCUUUUUUGUAAGUAAAUCAACUCUCAUCUGGCAGAAGUGGGUGAGGAGGGUGGUUUGGAAUCUAGAGCAGUGGCUGGCACAGAUCCUCAGUGCUGGACUGACUCUGCUGACUUUGAAGUCAGAUAGAAAAUACAAACUGAUGCAAAGUAGGUUUUUUGAACCAUCACAUCACUCUUUGUCAGAAAGCAUCAAUUCCCUGGACACCAUCAGUUUGUUGGGACUAAACAUGAACUCCUCUGCUCUGCUUUUAUUAAUUGCAAAUAUGCUUUGUGAAAACCAGUAAAAGGGUGUUACCAGCUUAAGACUUUGCCAAGGCAGUAAGGUGGAGUUGCAUGUGGGAAUGAAGCCUUGUUUAAUCAGGUUUUGUAAUUACUUUGAUACAAUUUUAGCUGAAGCAUGUUGAGUCAAGCAGUUCCUGGUUUAAUACACUUACUCUUUAGUCUUCAGUUGCAAAUUUUAGAAUUUACCAAAUACCUAUUUAAUAACCAAUUUUUGUUGUUGCACACUGAUCAUCUACAAAUAUGCCUGUAGUAACUACAUGUUGUACUUUUAUCUGUUUUUACUUAAGUAACCAGUUUUAGAUGUCAAAUCUCCCCUGAAGUCUACUAAAUUUUUGGAUAGGUUUUAAAGAUGAAAAAAAUCAAUCCUCAUCUUGAACUCACAAUAAAGGGAAGUGAGCACAGCAGUAGCAGAGACUUUCCCUCUCUCGUACCAUGGAUUUGGUUUAGUUUUACAGUGUUUUCUUGACUCCCCCAUUAGAUCUAGAGGAGGAAUGUCCUCCAUGGAGAGGUGUAUUGGAGAUAGGGCUGUCUGAAUGCAGAGGCACCCACGGGGCACUUGCAGGUGAGCUUGCUGGGUUGGGGAGGAGUGGGUGUUACACUGCACAGCAACCUGAAGGUUCACAGCACUGAUAGUUCGCUAUCAGGACACACCUCACCUAUUGUCAACACAUGCAGAGGCUGUAGAGAGUUUGUAGCAAGAGGAGGUUGUUAUUUAUAGGCAAUGGAAAAGUUUAUGCUUCUUGUUUGCAAUUGCAAAUAUACAGGAAAACUGUACAUUCCUUUAUCAUCUUCAUUCAGUUGUUAAACCCCCAGGUUUCUUCCCCAAGAAUCAUCCCUGUUUCUCUGGAUUUCUUGAUUUAACCUCUAUAACCAAGGCACCUGACAAUUACUCUGAGAGUUUAUAGCGCUGCUUUUUUUGUUUUGUUUUACUUUUAAAAAAAAACCAAACAAAAACCUGUAAAAUCCGAAAACUCUGGGGCGUUUCUGAAGAAAAAAAGAUUGUUGCUUUGUUUGUUUUUUUUUUUUUUAAAUGAGAAAGGAACAUCUUAAAAUUAGGAAUAACAAGACAUUCGUGUUUGUAAUUAGUGAAUUAUAGCCUACAAAGUAGCUUGAAUGCUUUCAGCUGAAAGCUGCUUUGGAAGCUUAACAUGGGAUUAAUUUUUGAAGUAUACCUGGACUACCAAGAAGUUAAUCAAUGGAGUGUGAGCUAUACCCACUUAAAAAGCAAGGACAUGAAAAUCAGUGCAUUCUCCAUGAGAGGCUCUUAAUUAUUUCCUUUCAGAGAAUGUGCACAUUAUCUUAAUUAUACAGGAGCCUACGUAAAGGUACCAUUGGAUUGUAUCCAAUGAAAGCUAAAGCAAACAAUAUGACAAGAAAAAGGGCACUUGCGUCAUUUCACUUUAGCAUUUAAAAUACAAACAAUAACUAGCAAAUAAAAAGCUCCUAGCUCAUGGUGUGCUUACCAGUGCCAGCAUACUUAUUCCUUCACAUGUAAUCUUUAGAACAAAGAACUCCAUAUCAGAAAAUGCUUUGACAGUCUUUUUUUUUAUUUGUCUGCACAAAAGCAAGACCACAUUUCAGCAAGGAGGCAUGUUUCCUGUGGGGCUCUGCUGGCUUCAUGCGAUUAAUGACCUCUGCAUUUCCCAGAUAAGUCUUACUGUGUGAAUGUGAUCUUCUCCUGUGUGCAUGAGGGCACACAGCCACUAAAAAAAAAAGGCAUCAGAACGGAAGGGUGAUAAAGCUGCUGGUAAGACUGAGGUGCUGGAGCAUUUUUGUUAGAGAUGCCAUUGCUUUCUGUAAGGAGUAGAUUUUGAGAUGCUCAGUAAUGGUGAUUAAAAUGAUGAGUUAUUCUACAUGGUAAGCCUGUCACUCUGAUCAAAUCCACCUUGAGAAACUAAAGUUUCUAUAUCCGUGAGAUCCCAAGAUACUGUUUUGGAGACCUCAGCUUUAACACGUAUGUUCAGCUGUGACAAUGCACUGUUAACAUGCUUUCUUGAACAACUGAGGGGAAAAAUGUCCAGAUCUUUGUACAUUAUCCCCUGAAAGGGUACUUAUACGGCUUCAAAUGUCAGGCUGCUCUGGCAUUUCUCUGCAUCUUUGAUCACUUUAGGUAUAUUUUGGUGAUGCCAUUCGAAUGUUUCUCAGUAUUGCCACAAAAAAACGUUAUCAUAAUGUUACUUAGCACCAUGGCAUUGCCAAAUCACCUGGAAAGUGUUGGGGAACUUCCUUUGGAGAAUGGAAGGUAGAGGAAGGAGUUCUCCCUCAUCAGCCUUUCUUACCUUCCUCUGACCACUUUGGGAGCAGCUCCUAUCCUUUGAAAACUUUAGCUUUUCAUGGAAGCUGCAGAGUCACUUCCUCUCACUUGUGGGGAGGAAGACCCUAGUGUAGUCUCCUAUGCUCCCUUCCAGGGACACCCAGACCUACACUUGUUGCACAUGUGGCACUUUGCUGUGUCCUAGUGUGUUUUGAGGAGUGAAUAGCACAUUUUCUGUGGGAAGACAGGAGGACACACAGUCCUCCUCCAGCUUUGCAUGAGUCAAAAGCUCUGAAAAGGUGUGUGUGUGUCAGGACAGGCACAGAUGAAAACACUGCAUGACAGCAGUGACACUCAAUACAUUUUAGAGAUUAAUGUACAACACCUCUGAUCCCUACAUCUACCAGAGUAUGGUACAGAGGAAGGGAGGAUCACAAAUGGCACGUUUCUAAGCACAGAACAGCUGCCUCCAUUCAUGGAAGUGUCAAAAUAGUCCUUAAACAUCACUAAUGAAUUUUUUCCUAUAUUUAAUGUUUUCCAAUGCUAGUGGAGCCUAACUGAUAUAUGAGAAGUGUUUUAAAACCAAAUUCUUGUUGCUGUCAGGAAACCCCAAUUCAAGAUGCACUGAUCCAUUCCUUCCUAGAGUGAGGUUAGAAGUCUGUUGAAAAGGACAUGCGUCAAAUAUACCAUCACAGUCCAGUGCAGCCUGCUCUAGCAGUAGGGAUAGAAGUCUUGGUAAAAAAAAGUCAUGUUAUCCUUUAGCUGUGUUCUGUAGUAUCUCCCCUAAUCAAAGUAAUUCCUAACUUAUUUACACAAAAGGCAGAGUCCUUCUCUUUAGUGGGACUUUUUUUUUCUAACCCUUCGAUAUCUACUGCUCCUAAUUUUCUACCUGUAAUAAUUGAACCAUUCCCAUAUUAAAUGACUGUACUUGGAGAGAGGCACAGGUACCAGAGUGCUACAUAACUGCAGGGAAGUGGAAAACAGUGCAGUGAGACCUCUGUGGGCUUAAUCAGCUUUGUAGGGAACAUGCAGUCAUUGACUCUUCCAAGUGCACAGCAAGGAAGGAAAGUUUUCCUCUGGCUGACAGCUACUUUAAAGAGAUGAAUUUAUAUUUUUGGACACUGCACUUGGAAUUCCAGUUAAUAUUUUAAUCUAGUAAAUGGAUGUGGCAAUUGAUGGCAGAGUUCAGGGGUUGGAACUAUGUGAGUUUGAAUUAAUCAAUGCUCUCAAAGGCAGUACUACUUUUGCAUCUAAAGGGGGCUGAACAGAUAAAGUCCUCUGAUAAUUUAACACUAGAAGGCUUGAACUUCCUUGUAACAGAAUAAUUUCUCUGGGAAGGACAAAUUCUGCUCCCGUUUAUUUUUGGUGUCACAUUUACCACUACCAGCACUUUCUAUGCUCUUUAAGGAGCUAAUUUUAAAGUUAAUGGGAUUUUUGUGCACAAAGGGUUGGCCAGCCAUAACUGCAGACAGCACUGACGUACCUGAUUAGUAAGAAAUGUGACGCUUUUGCCACUUGGCCUUCUGCCCGGUGGGAGCUACUUCUGUUGAGCACAUCAAAUGAAUUCAUGUAAGUCACCAAAGAACUGCAGGCCAGGAAUGGCUGUUGGUUGCUACUGGAUCAGACCAGCUUCUGACCAGUCAGCUAGAGAAAUAUCCUGUACUUCAAACAGUGGAGUAUCCAUUUAAAAGCAUUUAAAAAUACAUACAACAAGAUGGAGUUGUUAGACUGGAAAAUCCUCUUUAGCAUGAUACCAUCUGGCCAUUAAAUAUCUAUGGAAAAGAGUUGAAAUACCAUAGUGACUCAUCAAGAAGUUAUUGAAUUGUGUACAUAAAUCUUUCUUUAGAAUUUAUUCAUUGGUGUGGAUGAGCUCAUGAAGUCAAACAUGCCUUUUUGUCUUUAUGAAGCUUCACACAGAAAAUCUGGUCUUUACACAAUUCUCUGACUACUCUUAAAUUCAGAGUAGUUACAUUAUGCAUACUGCAAGAGAAAAUUACUAUUUUCUUCCUUUUAUUCCAGCUUCAUUUUAAUGGGAUUAUAAACUGGCUUUUUAAAUACAGUAAAAAAUUUCUUGUUUCCUUCUACAGUAGUUUUUAAUUGACAGUCUAUUGUUGGCCAAGUCUUUGCUCAAAGGAGCUGCAACACCUGAAUCCCCUUCCUCCCACCAACCUACCUCACUCCCAUGCUCCCACUGCCAAGGAUGAAGUGGAUAGAAAUGCCUUUCAGAGCUGAAUUGUUUGAACUAAUGUCUCAGCACUGAGUGAGUGAGAUUUAUAGCAAAUAAUGUGAAUUUCUCAGGACUGUCUAGCCCACCUUAGCUGUGGUUUUGCUUGGGAACUCUUAUUGGUUUCUGUUUCGAAUUUUCUCCUGAUGCUUUUGUCCUACCACUUGUCACAGCUGUAGGAUAACUUGAUCAAUGCCUCAAGGCAAUACUCUUAUCGCUUUGGAACUUCUUGUACUUCCCGGGGAAAGGAAAUGCAUUAAUUUCAAAGCUGAGUCAACUCCUGAAAUGAAUUAGCACAUUGGGUAAAUAUCUGAAAGCAUAUUUUUACAAGUAACUACUCACGUGCCCUGAGCUGUUCCGUUUCAGAUGACAAGCAAGGAACAUGUCCUCUGGGCUCACUUAUGCACAGCUUUUGUGUCGACUUUGUGUGUUUGGGUUUUUUUAAAUCUUACUUUCUACAAAACUGGUUGUUAUAUAGAUUAUUUUCUUCUCCUCCUCUGGUCAUAAUUUUUGAUCUCACUGACCAAUUUCAGCCCAAAUCUAGAGAGGGAAGAGCAUUCAAUGAUGCUAAGUAUUCAUUAUGUUUCAUGAAAUAGAUCGUUGGAGGUCUGAGUUGCAAAGGCUGUACCACGAAGUUGCUCAUUAUUGGACAACAGGCAAUAUGCAGAAGAGAGACACAUUACAAAUGCUCUAAGGAUUGAAGACUUAGGGGAAGCAAAAAUACCCAACCUAAAUCCAUAGGAAACUGUCUUCAUUCUAGAGCUGAUGAAACUUUAUUUCAUUGAUUCAUUGCAAAAAAAAAAAAAAUCUUUCAAUUAAUUUUCUAAGAGGAUUUUGAAGAAAACGUACAGUAUGUUGGUCAGACCUGGAUGUGCUGAGUCUUCUUGUUUUGUCUUCGUGCAGAUCACUGUGAGUGUGGACAAUGUAAUGGCUACUCCCUACCUCAAUGCAUGUUAGAAAGCUUAAUUAUUCUAAAUACACAGUUUUAUCAGGGAUCCCAAUGAGAGCAGAAACAGGACUAAAUAGGACAAAAUAUUAGCUGAGUGCUUUUGAAUGUGAAAGAUAAGAUAAAGAAAGAUCUUUUAAGUGUAGGUAAAUAUCUCUCUCCUUUUUUUUUCAUGUAUAGUUCUUCUAUCAGCCAUUUAGAACACACAAGAUUUAAAACAUAUGAGCAGAAACAAUAUUUGUAAAUGAAAUGCCAUCUUAAAAGUUAUUCAGCUGUAAAAGUAGAGAACAGAAUCCUACAGUAUAGGACACAGAUGUAUAAACAGAAAUGGCCACAAUGCCAUAGUCUU